GCCAGGCGCGGUGGUGUGUGCCUAUAGUCCCAGCUACUCGGGAGGCUGAGGCUAGAGGAUCACUUGAGCCCAGGAGUUCUGGGCUGUAGUGUGCUAUGCCAAUCAGGUGUCCGCACUAAGUUCAGCAUCAGUAUGGUGACCUCCCGGGAGCGGGGGACCACCAGGUUGCCUAAAGAGGUGUGAACGAGCCCAGGUUGGAAACGGAGCAGAUCAAACUCCCGUGCUGAUCAGUAGUGGUAUUGCACCUGUGAAUAGCCACUGCACUCCAGCCUGGGCAAUGUAGCAAGACCCUGUCUCUA
ensembl:misc_RNA Metazoa_SRP Metazoan signal recognition particle RNA